rnacentral:rRNA from 1 species
GAUGAACGCUAGCGGGAGGCCUAACACAUGCAAGCCGAGCGGUAGAGUCUCUUCGGAGACUUGAGAGCGGCGCACGGGUGCGGAACACGUGUGCAACCUGCCUUUAUCUGGGGGAUAGCCUUUCGAAAGGAAGAUUAAUACCCCAUAAUAUAUUGACUGGCAUCAGUUGAUAUUGAAAACUCCGGUGGAUAGAGAUGGGCACGCGCAAGAUUAGAUAGUUGGUGAGGUAACGGCUCACCAAGUCUGCGAUCUUUAGGGGGCCUGAGAGGGUGAUCCCCCACACUGGUACUGAGACACGGACCAGACUCCUACGGGAGGCAGCAGUGAGGAAUAUUGGACAAUGGGUGAGAGCCUGAUCCAGCCAUCCCGCGUGAAGGACGACGGCCCUAUGGGUUGUAAACUUCUUUGUACGGAACAAAAUGCGACCUGCGGGUUGUACUGAGGGUACCGUAAGAAUAAGCACCGGCUAACUACGUG